UUUUAACUCGUAAAGUUUGCAGUUUUUUUAUCAUAUUAUUUAACUGAAUGAUAAUUUUAAAAAAUGUUCUAGAGAAUUUAUUCUAUUUUGUUGGUACGUUUUCAUAUAUGUCAUUAAUUGCUAAAUAACUUUUCCUUAUAGUUAAAGGAAGUAAUGUUGUAUUUUGCCAAGUUCUUAACCCAUAGAAAACCAUUACCGGUUAUGCUUCAAAUAGCUGUUUGUGCUGAAAAAUGGACCAAAAGUGUGUCAUCAUUUAUUGAUAAGUUUAUGGUCAGCCCGUUAUUGUUCUUCACAUCAUUUCUUGAGGCAGCUAUAUAUGCUAAGAUACCAAUUAUCCCUCAUGUAUGUGACUUGCAAGAGAAGAAAAUAGUUUUAACUAAUAUCAUUGAAAAUGUUUGUAAGGCAGUUGUAUGUACUUCUUAUUUAGACCAUGCAAAAGAGAUACAUAAUUUUCUUCAGUAUGAAAAUAUUCGAUCUUAUCUUGUACAUGAAGAAAUGGAGCAUUAUAUUUCAGAUGAGGUUAUUAAAGACUGGAAGUCUGUGAAGUCAUCUUCUGUUCCUCAUUGCCUCAUUUUAACAGAUGCAUCUUUGACAAAAUUAUGUAUUAGUGAUGCUGAGUGCCUCAUCCAUUAUGAUGUUCCUGAAGAUUCUCGUCUGCAAUUUGGGAAUCGUUUCAGCUGCAUUGCAGAACAUUUUACAAAAACAGGAAAGAAUUCAAAAUGUGUUUGCCACAUUCUUAUUAGUGAAGACUGCUCUGUAAAAGCAUCUUCCCUACUGAAAAUAGUUAAACGAAGUGGAAGAAUUGUUCCAGAAGAGUUGAAAGACCUUAUAAAGAAACAAAACCUCAUAUAUACAGAUGCUAGUAUCCCUCUGUGUCAUACUUUGAAAGCAUUUGGUUUUUGUGACCAGGUUUUAUGUCAGAUGAGGCAUCAUAUUGAUCUCAUAAGUGACAAACCUAUUGCUGUGCCAAGUGAGGGUGAUAUUCAAGGUCUAGUGACUCAUGUGUUUGAUGCUUCUCAUUACUGUGUCCGUUUGCUGAAGUAUUUGACUCCUGAUUCUGAAAAGGCAGUAUUAUUGAGUAGUGUAUAUGCUAAAAUUGGAUUCCAGCUUAAAAAAUUUUAUUGCAAUGUUUCUCAUCAACAGAAAGUGGAAAAUCCUAUAGUUGGCAAUUGUUACGUGUUAACAGAAAAUAGCUUAUAUUAUAGAAUUAAGAUUUUAGAUAUAUUGCCUGCAACGAAAUGCCAAAAUGAAAAGAAAAAGGUAUUUUUUCUUGAUGAAGGUUGGGUGAAAUAUAUGGGCCACACUGAGUUAUAUUAUCUUUCUGAUGAGAUUGAGUUGCCUCCACCACUUGCAUUAGAAGUAUAUCUGUGCAACGUUAAAACUCCAGAUUCAUGUUUAAAUUGGAAUCCACAAGCAAACCAUUUUGUUUCUAAUUUAAUUGAAGGCAAAGAAAUUCAUGGAAAGAUUGCUCUUUGUCUUGGUGAAACCUUAUGGAUACAUCCACUUGUACUUAGGGAAAAACUGUAUUUUAUUGAUGAUUACUUAAAUGUACUAAAAUUAGAUGAAGCAUUAAAAGAUGCUGGGUGUGCUAAAUAUAAUAAAGAACAUCUACCAUUGUUAUAUAAAAUUUGCCAAGAUAAAGUCUCUUUACCUAGACGUGUUGUAAAAGCUGUAAGUCAGGCUGAAUUAACAGAUGAAACACAAUUAAAAUAUGCCUUUUUGGAAUGCAGUAUACUUGAAGAUGUGUAUGUUUCAAGUGUGAUAUCUCCUGAUCAUUUUUAUGUUCAGAGAGCAAAGUUUGUUGACUGUUUAGAUAAAAUGCUGGAUGAGAUAAAUGAACAAGUGAAAAAUAAAACAUUGAAAAAAUGCCUAGCACUACAUAAGGGUCUGCAUUGUAUUGCACCAUUUAAUGAAGAUAAUAGGUUUUAUCGAGCUUUAAUAACAGAUCUGGUUUUGGAUUCAGAUGAUGUUCACUUGUUUUUUGUUGAUUUCGGUGACACCGGAUGCACUACAAAAGACAACAUUUAUGUUCUGCCUGCAGAGUAUUUGCUUUUACCAUUUCAAGCUAUAGAAUGUGAACUUGGUGGAAUAUGUGCUUCACAUGGUGGAUGGUCAAAUCAAACAAUUGACACUCUAUAUGAUCUUACAAGAGAUGAAGUUGGAGAUAUGAAGAUACUACAAUUGCAGGCAUACACAAAGUCAUCAUGUUAUGAUGGUGGUUACCAUUAUGUGGUAGACAUAUGGAAUGGUGAAAAAUCUCUCUCAAAGCUGCUUUUAGAAGCAGGACUUGUUAAUGCUGUAGAAAUUCCUGCUUCUUGUGACUUGGUAUCUGAUGACACUACUAGUAAUUUACAAAUAGAUGACAUUCCAGGUGGUUUUAUUACUUCUUCUGAUGAAGAAAGGCAUCCAGAUGAUAAAGAUGCUGCUGCAAUAUUUUGUACUGUUUUAUCAAAACUUUUACUCCAAGGACAAAAUAUUCAUCCAGAAGAGGAUUUAGGAACUUUAGUUGAUGAUAUAUCAUGCAGUAGAGAUAACCACAAGAAGAUAACUGCAACAAAGGAGUUUCUUCCUGAGCAAAUGAACAAAAAUGAAACAUUUAUACAGAAGCUUUCAAGUGCAUUUAAUGAAUACACUCUUUUUCAAAAGGAAUUUUCAAGUACCACAAAUGAUAAAAGUUAUAAGCCACUAAUUACAUGGUGGGAUUCUCCUGAGCAACUUAAUAUCGUAAUCAAUUUAAGAGACAUUAAAGUAUAUGAAUUAAAUAUACAAGAUGAUGGUUUUACAUUUGAAACUACACUGAAUGGCGCUCAUUAUUAUACUAAAGAAAUAUUUUAUUCUUCUAUUUAUUCCCAAGAUGCAGUAACAAGCAUUUUGCCUCAAGGUAUAAAUAUGGUUUUAAGAAAGCAAGAAAAUUCAAAAUGGCUUCGUCUUACAAAGGAUUGUACAAAAGAUUUUAGACAUUGCAGCUUGAAAAGCUAAGAAAGAUAGAUAUGAAGGCAAGAUUUAUAGACCCACGAUUCUAGAAGAUUCCAGAAAAAUGUGACAAAAGGAAAAAUGUCUGCAUGUUUCUGCAUAUCAAAUAUGAUUUGAAUCAUUUGGACGAUUCUGAUUCUGAAGAUGACGUUCCAACUUCAAAUGCUGCUGUAUGUGAUGUUUCAGCUGACAUGUAUAACAAAGAAUCUGAAAUUAUGC
rnacentral:misc_RNA from 1 species